UAGUCCACGCCGUAAACUAUGGAUACUAGGUGUUUGGGGAAUUAACCCCCUGAGUACUGAAGCUAACGCAUUAAGUAUCCCGCCUGGGGAGUACGGUCGCAAGGCUAAAACUCAAAGGAAUUGACGGGGGCCCGCACAAGCGGUGGAGUAUGUAGUUUAAUUCGAAGCAACGCGCAGAACCUUACCUACCCUUAACAUUCCAGGCCAACCACAGAGACGUGGCUUUCUCUUCGGAGACCUGGGGAUAGGUGCUGCAUGGCUGUCGUCAGCUCGUGUCGUAAGAUGUCUGGUUAAGUCCAAUAACGAGCGCAACCCUUAUCUUUAGUUACCAGCAUUAAGUUGGGGACUCUAGAGAGACUGCCGGUGUUAAACCGGAGGAAGGCGGGGAUGACGUCAAGUCCUCAUGGCCCUUA
rnacentral:rRNA from 1 species